CGAGACCUGCGGUUAAGAGCAUGGGCGGACACCUGACAGUUAUAGCGGAUUCGCGCUAGAUAGAUACAAUUGGAUUAUAUACAGUGAUUCACUGGCAUUGGAGACAUCGACUCAUGUUCAGCGGUUGCCUGGAGGAACGAAGAGGUACCUCUCCUUGGAGACUUCCCGGGAUGCAAAACUCAAGCGCAAGACACAAGAAUGGAGCGCAAUACUGCUGCUGUCUGAUUGGCGAAACGUCCAUCGCUUCAUCUUUUCACAUUAGUUCUACUCGACGAAGCUCUAACCAGGUCUAUUGCAACCAGGACUCGACCACAAGACAUCUAACUUGUAGAGACAGUAGGCUAACAUUUGUCUCGGGUUUGUUUAUUCGGAAAAGCCUAUUAUUUAAGAAAUAGGCGGACGGCUUUUCCGUGGUGCUGAAGAUAGGACUUGGCUGAUCUACGAGUGAGGAGAAUCAGUACACGAGCCCACACUUGUCAGCUUUAUGAUAUCAGGUGCUUUCGCUAAGGCAGGAGUCUGAGCUGAGGCAGGAUAGCAGGAUGCUGUGGGUGGAGUGUAGGAUAGUGGACGCCCUGCGUGGGAGAAGACGGAUGAGGGCCACGGCCGUCAAGCUGCCCUGCUCCUUCUGGUUCCUUCUGCUGUUCGGGGCCGGUGGCCUUGUCCUCUUCAUACACCUCCAGGACCUCUCAGAGAUGGUCCAGCAACAGGCU